GAGCGCUUCACUUUAACUCUAAGGCAGCCCAAUCAUUAGCACCUUGCCCCAAGCAAUGAUGUAAAAAGUCUCAUCUGCAUGCAAAUUAUGCAAACAUUAAGGAGCUAGAAGCAGCCGUUCGUG